CCUACGGGUGGCAGCAGUGGGGAAUCUUGCACAAUGGGGGAAACCCUGAUGCAGCAACGCCGCGUGAAUGAAGACGGUUUUCGGAUUGUAAACCUCUGUUCUUAGUGAAGAAUAAUGACGGUAGCAAAGGAUCAAGCCACGGCUAACUACGUGCCAGCAGCCGCGGUAAUACGUAGGUGGCAAGCGUUGUCCGGAAUUACUGGGCGUAAAGGGAGCGCAGGCGGGAAGCCAAGUCAGCUGUGAAAACUACCGGCUUAACUUGUAGAGUUCAGUUGAAACUGGUUUACUUGAGUGAAGUAGAGGAGAGCGGAAUUCCGUGUGUAGCGGUGAAAUGCGUAGAUAUUCGGAGGAACACCGGUGGCGAAGGCGACCAACUGGGCUUUAACUGACGCUGAGGCUCGAAAGUGUGGGGAGCAAACAGGAUUAGAUACCCCAGUAGUC
rnacentral:rRNA from 1 species